GCAGCGGUCGGGCGACUCAGGCAACCGCUCCGGCUCCGAGCAAGGGAGCCUGGACCGGCGGCCGCUGCCGCUGCUGCCCAGCCGGCGCGUGCAGGGACCGCAGAAGCGUGGCGUGUACGCGCUGAGCGAGCCACCGCCGCCGCCUCCGCCGCCGCCUUCGUCCGAGUACGUGUAGCAGCGGCGACGCGGCGGCCCUUUGUGCAAUAGUGAGCGCGCGUGCCGCGGGGACGAGGUAGGUGGCGGACGGCGGAUGGGUGCAAACCCGGGCCGAUCGACGCGGUGUCGCUGCCGAAAAACGCGUCACUCUCGCACAAAAACGGCGGCGUGUAAGCCGCUUGGAGAGCUUACCGGCGCAAAGCGUUGUUUUUCGCCGGCAAGCGAUGUGAUGGUAUCAUCUAGUCACGACUUCCCUGCAUCUGGAGGCAAAAACGACGGCACAAAAACGCGGUCGAACUGCGCACCGCCGCGGCCAACAAGCUCACUUGUGUUUACCCCGGAGUCACACUUCUAUAUUUCUUCAUAAACGUCCGGCGCAUAGAAGAGGGCAGCGCCGCCUGGCGAUUUAUCGCUCGCCGAUUCGCGCCGCCCGCUGCAGAAGCCACAGCGCCACGGGACGCCAGCCUCAGAUGAGCGGAGCGCCGCCGCGACCUGGCGACCCGGGCGGCCGACGAGACCUCCAGCGCUCGGGCCUCCGGUAGCGACGGACGGCCCGUCUCACUGGGAGCCGGCCGAGACCACGCGGUGCGGCCGACUGCGACCAUUCCAGCGCGUCAGCACGACUCGGUCCAUUCCAUGCCAGCCUCGGCUGAGAUCAUAUCAAAAUGCGCUGCACUCAGGGGCCGACUCCAUGCUAUUGUGAUAUGUCCUGGAUCGUGUGAACUUUGUGUGUGCGUGUGCGUGUGUAUAUACUGUGUUCUUGGGAGCGUAUUAUCGUCCUAUAUACCAAAUCGCAUUCAAGAAUAAACACUUCGAGAUG